GACGAACGCUGGCGGCGUGCCUAAUACAUGCAAGUAGAACGCACAGUUUAUACCGUAGCUUGCUACACCAUAGACUGUGAGUUGCGAACGGGUGAGUAACGCGUAGGUAACCUGCCUGGUAGCGGGGGAUAACUAUUGGAACCGAUAGCUAAUACCGCAUAAUAUUGAUUAUUGCAUGAUAAUUGAUUGAAAGAUGCUAUUGCAUCACUACCAGAUGGACCUGCGUUGUAUUAGCUAGUAGGUGAGGUAACGGCUCACCUAGGCGACGAUACAUAGCCGACCUGAGAGGGUGAUCGGCCACACUGGGACUGAGACACGGCCCAGACUCCUACGGGAGGCAGCAGUAGGGAAUCUUCGGCAAUGGACGAAAGUCUGACCGAGCAACGCCGCGUGAGUGAAGAAGGUUUUCGGAUCGUAAAGCUCUGUUGUAAGAGAAGAACGGGUGUGAGAGUGGAAAGUUCACACUGUGACGGUAUCUUACCAGAAAGGGACGGCUAACUACGUG
rnacentral:rRNA from 1 species